CACCUGAUGGCACAUGGUGUGCACCUGCCCUCCUUUACGGCCCAAAGCGUGUCUAGGCAGGAGGUCCCCGUUCGAUUCGGGGUCGGGUGA